GGCAAGAAGUGUCGGCUCCUGACAAUGUUCAGUAUGACAGCGUCCUUCUUCCUGGUGGAGCUGAUAGUCGGGUACAUAACCAACUCCAUGGCGCUGGUGGCUGACAGUUUUCACAUGCUCAGUGAUGUUCUGGCGCUUAUUAUAGCUUUCUUAAGUGUCAAGAUGUCUCCAAAAAAAUGGAGUAAAAACACAUUUGGUUGGGCGAGAGCUGAGGUCUUGGGCGCCCUCGUCAACAGCGUGUUUCUUCUUGCACUUUGCUUCUCUAUAUUUGUGGAGUCAUUAAAAAGAUUAUAUGAAACAGAGGAACUUCACAACCCCCAAAUGAUCCUAAUUGUUGGGGUAAUAGGAUUGGUCAUCAACUUAAUAGGCCUCUUGCUUUUUCAUGAACAUGGACACGGCCAUAGCCACGGUGGACACGGCCAUAGCCACGGUAGUCACGAAAACAAGCUUUCUACUAUCAACGCUCUGGUAGCCACGGAUGACAAUGAAAAUGAUGAAAGAUUCACCCCUCCACCCCCCAACUCCCUCUCUAGUCCAGAGAAAGGAGAAGACAAUAACAAAAGUGCCUCCCAGAUGAACAUGAGAGGCGUCUUCCUUCAUAUCCUGUCAGAUGCUAUGGGUUCAGUUAUUGUGAUCAUCAGUGCGCUGGUUGUGUGGCUGACCGAGUGGGAGUACUCCAAAUACAUUGACCCAGCAUUAUCACUGUGUCUGGUCACCCUCAUAACCAUCAGUACCUGGCCUCUCUUAAAGGUGUCUGCUCUCAUCCUCCUACAGACAGUUCCUACACACAUUCAGGUUGAUGGCAUACAGAAGCAGCUGUUGAAUGUUGAUGGUGUUCUUGCUGUCCAUGAGUUCCAUGUUUGGCAGUUGGCAGGAGAGAGGAUUAUUGCUUCUGCUCACAUCAGAUGUCGCAACCUGAAGGAUUACAUGGUCCUAGCAGAGAAGAUCAAGAAAAUGUUUCAUGAAGAAGGUAUCCAUUCCACAACUAUACAGCCAGAGUUUGUUGAGUUUGAGGAUGAUGGAGCAUCUGCUUCUAUUGACUCAGCUGAAGACUGCAUUCUAGAUUGUCCAUCAAAGGAUAAAGAUGGGUGUGUGGCAAACACUUGCUGUGGGCUCUCCAAACAGUUUGGACCAGAAAUCCCUUAUGGAAAAUUCCAAAAAGCUAAAGAAAAUGGGGACAGUGAACUUCCCAUGUACAGGUCCCAGCCUCUGCCAACCUGACCUCACACCAAUAUAUAGGAGCCUCAGAAUAGAAGAAGGAUGCAAGACACCGAUAGAGAGAGCGAUGGUGUGCCAAAUGUACCAGUAACAACAUGUCGUCAGCGCAACAGUAUUGAAGUUCACAUCGGUAAUCAAGGCGAUAAUGUUGUUGACGGUGCCAUGGAAGGGGGCUACCUCCUUGUGCCCAC
rnacentral:misc_RNA from 1 species